rnacentral:tRNA from 2 species
UCCUCGAUGGUCUAACGGUCAUGAUUUCCGCUUGUCACUCUCUAAUGAGAACGAGCGCGGGAGACCAGGGUUCGACUCCCUGUCGGGGAG